rnacentral:rRNA from 1 species
GCGGACGGGUUAUUAACGCGUGGGAAUAUGCCCUUCUCUACUGAAUACCCUUUGGAAACUAAUAGUAAUACCUUAUACCCCCUUCGGGGGAAAGAUUUAUCGGACAACGAUUAGCCCGCGUAAGAUUGGAUAGUUGGUGGGGUAAUGGCCUACCCAGUCUACUAUCUUUAGCUGGUUUUACAGGAUGAUCAGCAACACUGGGACUGAGACACGGCCCAGACUCCUACUGGAGGCAGCAUUGGGGAAUCUUAUACAAUGGGCGAACGCCUGAUCUAGCCUUGCCCGUGAGUGAUGAAGGCCUUACGGUCUGAAAGCUCUUUCUCCAAGGAUGAUAAUGACGGUACCUGGCAAACAAGCCCCGGUCUACUCCGUGCCAGUAG